GCUGGACUGGAGGAUCCACACUGCAGACUGGAGACACUGAGGUUGUCCCUGGAGAGGGCAGUUAAGGUGCUGGAGUUGGAGGAGGAGGAAGCUACAAAAAACUGCCCGGUAGAGAAAGGUUUAA